ACAGAGAUGCUAAAGGAGGUGGAUGAUGGGGUGGAGACUGAAGCCAUCAACCAGCUCCAGAACGUCUUCCUGGAUCAGGCAGAGGAAACUUCUGGCCAGUCUCUGGGUGAGCAAAAAAUAUAAUCUCAGACAAAUUUCACACAAAAUGCAAAACAAUAACUGCAAAAAGCCUCACAUUAAUGUUGCCGUGGUGAUGAAUGCAAUUAACUCGUAUUAAUAACACGUAAUACUCCAUGUCUACUGACCAUAUGUUCUUAACAAGAUGCUAUAAUUCAAAAUAUUUGAACUUAAACUAGAGUUAGAAAAUUGUAAGUUUGAAAUGGAUUUUUUUUACAGCAGGAGAAAGUGGGGAGAUCGUGACGAGUGCCAACGCUGAAGCUGAGGCUGAAGUCUUUAAUGGUUUCCUCACCGUCCUCCUGGAGGAGACAAGGGACAAGAACAACCUGCCUCUGGAAGAAGUUGAGGCUGAAGCUCAAGAAAGAAAUCCAGAAGAGGCUGAAACAGAGAAUAGCACAUCUCUGGAUCAAGUAAACGGCAAUAAUACAGACGGGCCUGUUGAAAACACUGGGAAUGGAAACGAGAAAAAGAAAAGGACCAGGAGAGGGACACGAGGCAAAGGAAGAAAGAUAAAUUACAAAAAGUUCCAGGACAACAAAGCAGGUAUUAAUAUUAAUAUCACGUCAUUAUGUCAGUAAUGUAACUGAACAACUGCUGAUAUUAGCUCAGUUUGUGUUAAACGAAGAAUCUAAACAUUGUAUCAAGUUUUAUUGUUAAUCAUGUGACUUUUGUCAGGACGAUCUGCAGCUGAGGCCAUAGAAAGACCACCAGAAGAUGCAGAAACAAUGAACAGCACACCUCUGGCGGACAAACCCAUGGUGAAGGCGGAAGAAGACUCUGAGCCUAAAGAGGAAAUCCAACUCCCUGAGACGGAGACCAUUAAUGAGCAGCUUCUGAGUAUGCCAUGAAAAUGAGCGUUCCAUAUUAUGAUGACGAUAAUAUAGACAAAUACUGACAUUUUCACAAUCAAAGCAGGAGAAGAGACACCAAAGAUGGAGGAAGAAGCUGAGCUGGAAGGUACUCCCGAUGAAGUGAAGGCAAAGAAAAAGGUCAGGAGAGGAACACGAGGAAGAGGGAGAAAAAUCAACUACAAGAAAGUUGAAGACAAAGAAGCUGAACAGAAUUUAGGGAGGAAAGAGCUGACCGACGCCAAAGCAUUGAGAGACCAACAUGAAAGACAGACACAAAGAAAGCCACAGACACAGUCACAUGUCUGGACACACCGUGACAGAGCCUGCGAGUCAGGGUGGAGAGGACCUGCUCACUGGGACUGGAGAGGCAGGAGAAUCCUAAGAAGAUCAACUCAAGACACACCAUCACAUGCUGGAGCCUGAUCUAUUGAACAGCACACACACACACACACACACACACACACACACACACAUAUAUACACACACACAUAUACACACACACAAAACCAAUGCACACAAACACACAUACACACAAAACCCAAUGAACAAACAAACACACAU